rnacentral:rRNA from 1 species
GAUGAACGCUGGCGGCGUGCCUAACACAUGCAAGUCGAACGGAGUCCAGCCUUUAAGGCCUUCGGGUCAAAGAGGGGAAGACUGAGUGGCGGACGGGUGAGUAACACGUGGGCAACCUGGCUCAUAGAGGGGGAUAACAGAGAGAAAUUUCUGCUAAUACCGCAUAAGCACACACUGCCGCAUGGCAGAGGGUGAAAAGAGAAUCGCUAUGAGAUGGACCCGCGUCUGAUUAGCCAGUUGGCAGGGUAAGAGCCUACCAAAGCGACGAUCAGUAGCCGAUCUGAGAGGAUGAACGGCCACAUUGGGACUGAGACACGGCCCAAACUCCUACGGGAGGCAGCAGUGGGGGAUAUUGCACAAUGGGGGGAACCCUGAUGCAGCGACGCCGCGUGAGUGAAGAAGUAUUUCGGUA